rnacentral:rRNA from 1 species
AGUGAACGCUGGCGGUAGGCCUAGCACAUGCAAGUCGAACGGCAGCACAGUAAGAGCUUGCUCUUACGGGUGGCGAGUGGCGGACGGGUGAGGAAUACAUCGGAAUCUACUUUUUCGUGGGGGAUAACGUAGGGAAACUUACGCUAAUACCGCAUACGACCUACGGGUGAAAGCAGGGGAUCUUCGGACCUUGCGCGAUUGAAUGAGCCGAUGUCGGAUUAGCUAGUUGGCGGGGUAAAGGCCCACCAAGGCGACGAUCCGUAGCUGGUCUGAGAGGAUGAUCAGCCACACUGGAACUGAGACACGGUCCAGACUCCUACGGGAGGCAGCAGUGGGGAAUAUUGGACAAUGGGCGCAAGCCUGAUCCAGCCAUACCGCGUGGGUGAAGAAGGCCUUCGGGUUGUAAAGCCCUUUUGUUGGGAAAGAAAAGCAGCAGGUUAAUACCCCGCUGUUUUGACGGUACCCAAAGAAUAAGCACCGGCUAACUUCGUG